CUGCGCCGCGAAGCUCCCAAUUCAACCAGACAGAGCUUCUGUUUUUGUGUAUAAACUCGAAAUCCUCUUCAUCAACACAAUACACCACAUCCACACAAUACACCACAUCCUUCAUAUAGCCUAGUCGUUAUUAUCGUAAUGCAAUCUCUAGAUUGAGUGUGUGUAUGUGCGUGUGUGUACGUGUGAGAUAGAGUGCCCGUGUGUUUGCUUGAAUGUGCUGUUUCUGUAUCACGUACAUGUGUGUGUUUAGAGUGAGCUGAUUCAGUGUCAGUGUGUGGACAUGAGUUAGACAGGUAGAUCAGUAUGAUAAAAUGGGCGCGCGCACUCUCGGACAAACGAGCGAAGUAUCGUAAUGGGUUCAGCAGGUGGAGCCCUAAUUCAGUAAACUGGUUCAGUUUACUGUUCCUGAAAUGAGAUGAACGUGAGAUUGACAGAGCCGCUCAAAAACAGCUCCGCUUCAAGUUAGCUUCAACAAUGCGAUAGUUAGACAGAUGAAGUCAACAAGUCUCGCUUACUUUUUAGUCUUGUCUUCAAUUAUAGACGCGCAUCGCUGAGGCGUGUGUCAGUGUUUGUGUGAGAGAGAAGUUAACCAUCUUUUUUAGAGUUGUCAAGAUAUUUCAUUUGCCUGUAUCAACAACCUUUUUGUCAAGUGUGCUGUUGGACCAUUCAAGAGGAACACAUGAAUCGCAAAAUUGGUGCACAUGUUGCUCACUUGUUGCAUUUUAUUCGCUAAUUAAUAUCAGUGUGGAAGACUUCAUUCGUCAAGAUGGUAGAAAACGGAUCGCAAAAGUGUCAAAUAGCCUAGUGACUGAGAUGGACCUAUAG
rnacentral:lncRNA from 1 species